CGUAUCGUAGCCAAUGAGGUUACUCCGAGGCGCGAUUAUUGCUAAUUGAAAACUUUUCUAU
rnacentral:snRNA from 1 species